rnacentral:rRNA from 1 species
GCACCGGCUAACUCCGUGCCAGCAGCGCGGUAAUACGGAGGGUGCGAGCGUUAAUCGGAAUUACUGGGCGUAAAGCGCAUGCAGGUGGUUUGUUAAGUCAGAUGUGAAAGACCCGGGGCUCAACCUCGGAAUAGCAUUUGAAACUAGGCAGACUAGAGUACUGUAGAGGGGGGUAGGAAUUUCAGGUGUAGCGGUGAAAUGCGUAGAGAUCUGAAGGAAUACCGGUGGCGAAGGCGGCCCCCUCGGACAGAUACUGACACUCAGAUGCGAAAGCGUGGGGAGCAAACAGGAUUAGAUACCCUGGUAG